GACGAACGCUGGCGGCGUGCUUAACACAUGCAAGUCGAACGGUAAGGCCCUGCCUUUGUGCGGUGCUCGAGUUGCGAACGGGUGAGUAACACGUGAGUAACCUGCCCUUGACUUUGGGAUAACUUCAGGAAACUGUAGCUAAUACCGGAUAGGAGCUCCUGCUGCAUGGUGUUUGUUGGAAAGUUUCGGCGGUUGGGGCUGGACCCGCGGCUGAUGAGCUUUUUGGUGGGGUAGUGGCAUCCCCAGGCCUUGCCGGGUAGCCGGCCUGGGAGGGUGACCGGCCACACUGGGACUGGGAGGCGGCCCAGAGUGCUACGGGAGGCAGCAGGGGGGAGUAUAGCGCAAGGGGCGGAGGUCGGAAGGAGCAACGCCGGGUGCGGAAGGACGGCCUUAGGGGUGAAAACCGCUUUGGCCUGGAACGAAGCGAGAGUGACGGUAAUGGAUAAAGAAGCACCGGCUAACUACGUG
rnacentral:rRNA from 1 species